CAAAGGCUAAAUUAUUUAUAUCCCCAAAGAAACCCUCAGUUUUUUCAUAUCCCCCAAAGUCUCGAACCCUAGCGGUGCUCUUGGAGGCAGCCGCAGCGACGCCAAUCGACGAUGGCAGCGUUUAGAUCUCUAGCGUGGAAGAUCGGCGGUCGCGCACUACAGCGAUCGCCGGCCAUCUGUCGUGUUGUGGACGUGGUUCCACAUGGCGGAUUACUUGGACGACCGGCGGUCGUCAAAUCUCGCAUAUUUAGCUCCGGCGCCUCCGGCACAAGCGAACCAUUAUGCAAGGUAUAUAUGACAUCACUACUCUGGAAAAGAUCCCCCCACAAUUUUGUCAUGAUUUCGAUUGAACUACUCUGGAAAAGAUGUAGGUAGGUAGCCUUUUUUUUUUUUGAAACGAGCAGGUAGGUAGGUAGCCUUGUGGUAAUCUGGUUCAGGAGCUUAGAUUUGUGCUUUCUGUUGAAUGAGAUGUGAAACUAAAAGUUCAAUAUGGAAGAUAUUCGCGUGUUGUUGACGUAGGUGGUGGCGUUUUUUAGGCAUGUCCUCUUCUACCAUGCCUCG
rnacentral:lncRNA from 1 species